AACGAACGCUGGCGGCAUGCCUAACACAUGCAAGUCGAACGAGACCUUCGGGUCUAGUGGCGCACGGGUGCGUAACGCGUGGGAACCUGCCCUUAGGUUCGGAAUAACUCCCCGAAAGGGGUGCUAAUACCGGAUAAUGUCUUCGGACCAAAGGUUUAUCGCCUUUGGAUGGGGCCGCGUUGGAUUAGCUAGUUGGUAGGGUAAAAGCCUACCAAGGCGACGAUCCAUAGCUGGUCUGAGAGGAUGAUCAGCCACACUGGGACUGAGACACGGCCCAGACUCCUACGGGAGGCAGCAGUGGGGAAUAUUGGACAAUGGGCGAAAGCCUGAUCCAGCAAUGCCGCGUGAGUGAUGAAGGCCUUAGGGUUGUAAAGCUCUUUUACCCGGGAUGAUAAUGACAGUACCGGGAGAAUAAGCGCCGGCUAACUCCGUG
rnacentral:rRNA from 1 species